rfam:Otolemur garnettii contig096741, whole genome shotgun sequence.
GUGUAGUAAGUUAGCAGCACAUACAAUAAAAUUGGAACAAUACAGAGGAGGUUAGCAUGACUCCCACACAAGGAUGACACACAAAUUUGAGAAACAUUUCAUUAAAAA